rnacentral:rRNA from 1 species
CACGUAGGGAGCAAGCGUUGUCCGGAUUUAUUGGGCGUAAAGAGCUCGUAGGCGGUUUCGUAAGUCGGAUGUGAAAACUCAGGGCUCAACCCGGAGACGCCAUCUGAUACUGCGAUGACUAGAGUCCGGUAGGGGAGCAUGGAAUUCCUGGUGUAGCGGUGGAAUGCGCAGAUAUCAGGAGGAACACCAGUGGCGAAGGCGGUGCUCUGGGCCGGUACUGACGCUGAGGAGCGAAAGCAUGGGGAGCAAA